UCAUGUUGACUCCAUGUUAAUUUCUUAUAGAGUUCAACGUGUUUUUUGCAUCAUAUAUGGGCUAGGAUUGGAUUUGAUAGAUCUUGGUUUCAUAUGAGGGUUAAUUCGGUAGCACAUGAUGGUACAUCGACGUGCAGAUGAUUUCUCAUCAUUUUUUAGUUACUAGUCUCUAUCUAUCUAAAUCAUGCUCAUGCAUCGUCAUUCUACUACUCGUAUUUCUCAAUUUUCAGUAGUUGAAAUUACCUCAAUACCAUGAGCCACAUUGCUUUAGAAUCGAAUGUGACUAAUUUACAUAUUUGAUCAUGUUGUAAUCGUAUCGGGAAGAGUGGUGGGCGAUCUGAGGAUUUUGCCGCCCACCUGAGGAAAUGUUUCGAAACUGGCCAAAGGACUGACUUUACCAUCUUUGCUCAGAUGGAUCGGAUAUUGCAUCAGCUCAGGCUUGGCGCGCUCUGCAGCAGGGGGGCAGAACAGAAACAGAGCACCUUCCAACACGGAAAAGGAGCUCAGCAAAUUCUCUCUAGCCCUCGGUUAUUCCUUUGAUCUUCAUUCCCUCUUCAUUGUCCUCUCUGUCACCCUCCAUCCACCAACAGCCGCUGCCACACCUCCAUCGCUGGCCACCACAGGACAUGUCACGCUGAGAAGGGGCAAGAACAAACAGCGUUGAUUAAAGGAACUCGGGUGAUUUUUGAGCAUUUAUAAGGCUGAGAAGAACAGAGGGCGAGCUUUAAUUGACACCGUAGACUGAUGCUUCAACGAGGAUUAUCACCGUAGACAAAUGAUGUGGACAAACAUGAAGAGAUUGUUCAGAUGGAGCUGACUGAAUAGUGAUGGCUAUGUUCUUUUUACUGAAGGCAACGGGAAAGAUAAAGUUGGAGUUUUGAUUUGGAUCCCUCUUCCUUGGUGGCUCUUAUACCAUGGAAAUAUUUCUAUGAUUUGCAAGCGAGAGGGAGAGAGAGAAUCAACAAAUACUACACCUUUACUCAAUAGCCAAAUAAAAGAGUAUAUAGUAGCUCCACUUAUAAAGAUUGAGAGACAUUAACAAAGCUCCGAUUACCUUAUUUGUGACCACCUGCUAAUUGCCGACUAAUAUUCAUAAUUGUACUUCAACACAAAUCACAAUUGGAGCAAAUACUUGACA